rnacentral:rRNA from 1 species
GCGGGUGAAAAGCCCGCUCGCCGGAAGACCAAGGGUUCCUGUCCAACGUUAAUCGGGGCAGGGUGAGUCGACCCCUAAGGCGAGGCCGAAAGGCGUAGUCGAUGGGAAACGGGUUAAUAUUCCCGUACUUGGUGUUACUGCGAAGGGGGGACGGAGAAGGCUAUGUUGGCCGGGCGACGGUUGUCCCGGUUUAAGCGUGUAGGUGUGUGUUCCAGGUAAAUCCGGUUCACUUUAACACUGAGGCGUGACGACGAGGCACUACGGUGCUGAAGCAACAAAUGCCCUGCUUCCAGGAAAAGCCUCUAAGCAUCAGGUAACAUCAAAUCGUACCCCAAACCGACACAGGUGGUCAGGUAGAGAAUACCAAGGCGCUUGAGAGAACUCGGGUGAAGGAACUAGGCAAAAUGGUGCCGUAACUUCGGGAGAAGGCACGCUGACACGUAGGUGAAGUGAUUUACUCAUGGAGCUGAAGUCAGUCGAAGAUACCAGCUGGCUGCAACUGUUUAUUAAAAACACAGCACUGUGCAAACACGAAAGUGGACGUAUACGGUGUGACGCCUGCCCGGUGCCGGAAGGUUAAUUGAUGGGGUCAGCGCAAGCGAAGCUCCUGAU